rnacentral:rRNA from 1 species
UACGAAGGGUGCAAACGUUGCUCGGAAUCAUUGGGCGUAAAGCGCGCGUAGGCGGCCUUCUAAGUCGAACGUGAAAUCCCCGGGCUCAACCCGGGAACUGCGUCCGAUACUGGGAGGCUUGAAUCCGGGAGAGGGAUGUGGAAUUCCAGGUGUAGCGGUGAAAUGCGUAGAUAUCUGGAGGAACACCGGUGGCGAAGGCGGCAUCCUGGACCGGUAUUGACGCUGAGGCGCGAAAGCCAGGGGAGCAAAGCGGG